rnacentral:lncRNA from 1 species
UCAAAAAAAAAAAAAAUCAAAGCAUUUGGUUUUGUAUGUAGAGGUAUUUUAUUGCAAAGUUCUCAGGACUCAAGAUGGAUUUUUACAAUAGGAUUUACUCAAGUACACCAUCAUUAAACAUCUUAAAACAUAUUUGGGGAAAAAAUCAGGGUUCAUUUCAACAAAUAAACCUUAUCACAGAGGUGGAAGAGGAUCUCUGAGAUAAAAUGAAUUUAAGAAACAUAUCACAAUAGCCACAAUGUAAGUUAAUAUCAGUAAUCAUUUUUCUAAACAUAGCACUAUAACUCAUAGACCUCUUAUCAUUAUAUUUUGCUUUUAUUAGAAUAAAUUGAUAUGGUUGUUUUUGUUAAUUCCAUGCCUUUUAAAUUAUAAAUAUUUGAUCAAUGAAUAUAUUUCAAAAAUUCCAAAGGAUAACUUGAUUUUUCUUUAGUCUUCUAUUAUUGAACAGCUGGGGGAGGAAAGGAAGUUUACUAACAUUUUUUGUAGUAACAUUUUAGAUAUAACUGUCUAGUUUUCCAAAUAACAACCAAUCUUACUUUAAAAGGUCAGUGUGAUAUUGCCUUUUUAAAUCCUUAUAUAUUUUACUUAAAUUCUAAGGAUUGUUGUUAUUUCCAUGAAUAAUGAUUUCAUAAGAAUAUAUUUUAAGAUUAUAUUGCUUUUGUUUCAUUUCUUCUCUUUAUGGCCACAAAGUUACCAUUUAGUGAAUUACUGAUGGCUCAUUGUGUCAAAAGAACAUUUUUUAAAGGAAAAGAUACAGUGAAAAUAUAAAGAACAAGAGCAGAAGUGGCAUCAUAUGCCCUGCCCAAUCUUAUUGUAUAGUUACUAUAGUUAUACUUUGCAAACACUUUGCAGAGCACUGUAUCAAUUUUUAUCUAACUCAAAUCACUGAGUUAGAAAAUGAAAAAUUUUAUUUUCAUGCCAUACCCAAUAUGGGUGGUCAGAGUAACUAAACAAAGAAAAUUGCUUUCUACAGUUUUUAUGUAUCAUUCAAUUUGAUACAUGUAUUUUCUAAGUUGUCAUAAAAUGCUUUAAAACCACAUAGAACUAAUUAUGCUCUUCUUUAACAGGUAAAACUUCCACUGAAACUGAAGGAAUGUUAUUUCUCCCUUUUAAGUAAAUAAAAGAUCUUUACUUUGUCACAGAUUAUAGACUUCUAGGCUUAAGGCUCCUAUUUGUCAGGAUAUAAGUUAUUAAGUAGUACAGUAUUUUCUUUUUAAUGCAUUAGGUUGGUUAGAAAUGAUACCUAAAUGCAGUCUAAAAUCAACUUUCUGAAUGGAACAAAAGCAAAGUUCUUUUGCCUUAUAAAAACAGCAGAAUCAGACUGUCAAAAGCACAAUCUUUUAUUAGAUUAGGACUAUUAAAUUAAUAAUAACUUUGGAAUUACCCAAGCCUUGUUAAAUUGUUAUAUUGCACUUGAGAAUAAAAAGUAAAAGAUUCAGUACCUAUCCCCCAAAAUUUCAGUACCUAGUAAAUACUCUUCAUAUUGGAAGUCUACAAAGUUUUACUCCAAACCACUUCACCAAUGAAAACAUGUACUACAAAAACAUGAAUGCAUCAUAGGUUUCUUGAUUCUAGUAUAAAAUUUUCAAUUCUGUUUCUUUUCCAAGAGAAACUGUCUUUUAAUUUUAAUUUUAAAAAUUACCACAGGUAACAUAUUACUUUUACACUAGGUGGCAGUGUUGAUGAUGAUUGGUUACCAAAGAGUAUGAUGCCAAAAAGUAAAAAAGAAAAUAAAAAAGACAUCUGAUAAUAACCUCUUAGCAUUGAGUUCUGUACCUUUUGAAGAAACACCAACCUAUACCAAUUGGAUUUGUGAAAACCAGCAACAUGGUGCUUAUCACGAUCCUGUCAUGAUCCUGCCAUCAAACUUAUUUUUAAUUAGUUGGAUAAUUUUAAAAAAAUAUUCCAGAAUUUUCUCAAUUCUGGAAGUCUAACUUUCCAAUCACACAUUUUCUCUGAAAGUAAAUAUUACCUUAAUCAGCAUGAUUACAUUAAUUUCAAAAUUGAGGAAAAACUGACUCUUUUUUUAAAAUGGCUAUUAAGUUUUUUGUUUUUAUGUUUUAAAUGUCCCUAGAACAACAUCACCAAAAUUACACCCUUAACAACUUAAAAAAAAAAAUAAAAAGAUAAAGGAAAAAGGAAAGGAAGGGGUAAUACUAGUAGCACUAUCAGUAAAAGUUUCUUAUAAAAAGCAAAUUUUAAGCAAAUAUUUAUACUUUAACUUUUAGGUCAUACUAACUGUACCUUUAUUGCCAAUUAAAAUUUUCAAACUCAUUUUUAUGCUAUCUCUAAGAAUCAAAUUAUAAGGUAUAUAUCUAAAAUUGUAAAUUACUCAUUAACAAAGUAGCAAUUUUUUUGGCAAUACAGAUAUAUAUAUAUAUAUGUACAUACACACACAUAUAUAUAGUAGAACUAUUAUAGGGAAAACUAUAUACAUUCACAUCAUACUUUGGAAUAAAAACCAAUAUUUUCAUUCUUUUUCAACAUUUGCUUCAGAAAGAGAAAUCUUUAAGUUAUACAUUUUAUAAAAAUUAGAUUUGGCAUUUCUUCAUCUUUUUCAUGAGUCACAUUUAUAGUUCUGGAUAUAUUUCAUUUUUUUUUACUACUAUCUCCAGUGUUAAUGGAUCAUCCAGUCUUUGCUUUUAUAAUACUACAAUGUGCUUUAAUUAUAGGUACAGGCCAAGAAGAGAACAGAUUGCAACAUGUCUAAUUUUAAAAUUUCUGUGACUUUAAAUGAUGAGUGUAUAUUGCCACAUAAACGAUUCAGUAGCAGUAAAUAUUAUCAAUUAUGAAAAUGGCUAAAGUGACUGUUUGAGGGGUAUCAGUAAAAUUCAAGGUAGCUACAUAGUGAAAAGGCCUUAGGAUAUUUAUCACAAAUAAUUUCUCUACAAAAUAUCAAGUUCAUUCACAAUAUAAAAUAUUUACUCUACACGUAAGAUCCCUUUUUAAAUUGUUGGCAAAAAGCACUGCUCCAAAAAUACAUUUGAUUUUAAAUUCUUUUGCCAAAUAAUAUGCUUAUUAAAAUUACAUAAAGAACUUCACUAAGCAAAUAAUUUGUAUAAGCUCACAUAUAUAUAUUUCUAUUUUGUGAAUAUAGCCCAACAUUAUUUCACGUACAAAGAAUUAUUCAAUGAAAAAAGGAAAUACUUUUGAGGCUUCCUAUAAUACUUAAAAGGGGGAAAUGAUACUUGAUUUAAGAAAGAAAAAUAUUUAACACUGCAUAAUGAAGACCAAACUUUACAAAGGGUGUUCAGUUUUCUUAAUCCUAAUUUUGUCAUCCUAAUGUCCUUACAUAGGGUUAGCAAAGUCAGAAUCAGCUGAUGAUAAAUAUCAUGUUCAAACCCUAAAGCAUGGUGAACACAUCAAAAUCUCACUCUUGAAGAUUCACCACCUUAGGGAUUGGAAAAAAACAAGUUUCCUGCAUAUAUAGCUAUCAUUAAAAUGCCUGGAAAAUUAGCCUUACUUUUGUUUUUGUAUGAGGAUUUUUAAAAAUUGCUUUUAUAAACUAUUACAGAUUAUGAAAAACUAAAGGUUGUUUUAUAACUAAUCUUAACUCUAGGAAAACAUUUUAUAUUAGUAAUGUCUUACUCCAAAAAUAAACCCACUGGUGAGCUGGGGUGGGGUGUGGGGUUGAUUCUGUUUUACAAAUAAACAUUUCUGCUAAGGAGGGAAGAGCAAAUUCAAAACAAAGUAAACUUAUUUCCAUUUAUCUGGAGGUUUUUUUUUUUUUUUUGGUAAGUUAGUUUCAAAAUAUAAAUGAAAAU